AAAAAGGUAGGAAACAGGAGGGUGACAAACAUUGUGUGUGUUUGUAUGUGCCUGCCUGUUCUUUUAUGUAUGUGUCUAUGUGUGUCUGGUGGGGGAAUGGGCAUGGAUCAUUUUCGCACCGGGGCCCCAUGGUUUGUGUGUAUACCACUGCUUAAGCUGUAGUUGUUCUGGUGACUAGUAUCCCUUUAAUCCAGGGGUUGUCAACCUUUUAAUACCUACCACCCACUUAUGUUUCUUUUUGAUGGUAACAUUUCCUUACUGCCCAUUGAUGUCGCAUAAACUCAAUUUAAGCGCAAAACUUUAGAAA